GAAGUGCGAUAAGCAAUGCGAAUUGCAGAACCGUGAGUCAUCAGAUUUUUGAACGCAACUGGCGCCGGCUGGGUCUCCAGCCAGCAUGCUUGUUUCAGUGUCUUGUUUUCUCCUCACCCAAAUCUUAAUGCGAGAGAUACCCUUCUCUUGUUAAGCACGAAAGCACUCUGUCUUUGCCAGCGGCUUCUUGACUUGUUCAGGAGUCGCACUCAAUGCAGACGUCACAUUUCUUUUAAUGUGAACUCAUUGAAGGUAGAGACUUUCAGCUUAGGCUGUCAGUGCUUAGCCACUUAAACUUUCUUUGCAUCUGAAAUCAAGCAGGAUCACCCGCUGAACUUAA
rnacentral:misc_RNA from 1 species